rnacentral:rRNA from 1 species
CCUACGGGCGGCAGCAGUGAGGAAUAUUGGUCAAUGGACGAGCGUCUGAACCAGCCAAGUCGCGUGAAGGAUGACUGCCCUAUGGGUUGUAAACUUCUUUUAUCUGGGAAUAAAAUGUUCCACGUGUGGGAUUUUGUAUGUACCAUAUGAAUAAGGCUCGGCUAACUCCGUGCCAGCAGCCGCGGUAAUACGGAGGAUCCGAGCGUUAUCCGGAUUUAUUGGGUUUAAAGGGAGCGUAGGUGGAUUGUUAAGUCAGUUGUGAAAGUUUGCGGCUCAACCGUAAAAUUGCAGUUGAAACUGGCAGUCUUGAGUACAGUAGAGGUGUGCGGAAUUCGUGGUGUAGCGGUGAAAUGCUUAGAUAUCACGAAGAACUCCGAUUGCGAAGGCAGUUCACUGGACUGCAACUGACACUGAGGCUCGAAAGUGUGGGUAUCAAACAGGAUUAGAUACCCCAGUAGUC